rnacentral:lncRNA from 1 species
UUUGCUUUCUCCAUCAAGAAUAUGACAUCAGGAAAAUAGUACAAAUGUUGGAACUUCACAAACCUGAUUUUAAUCCUGCCCUGCCCACUAGCUGUAUAAGUUGAAAUGUCACUUAACUCUGCUAAGUCUUGGUUUCUACACCUUUGAACAGUUACUACUUCCUACUUUGAAAAGAUGUGCCAUUCAAUGAGUCAAUGUGUUCAUUCUUAAAUGUUUAUUCAUCUUUUGCCAAGUGCCAAGCACAGUGUGGGCACUAGACCAAUAAAAACACUUCUGUGUGUUCCAGGUACUUUAUAUUAAUUGACUCAUGUUACUAUCAGCAUUUCACAGAUGAGGAAACUGAGGCAUGGAGGGAUUCAGCAUCUUGCUUCCAAAGGUAGUAUCAGGCUGUGCCUAGAGACCAAGCCCUUACUCUAUGCCAGUGGUCCCCAACCUUUUUGGCACCAGGGAACGGUUUCCUGGAAAACAAUUUUUCCACAGACUGGGGUUGGGUGGGGGGAGUUUCAGGAUGAUUCAAGCGCAUUGCAUUUAUCGUACACUUUAUUUCUAUUAUUAUUACAUUGCAAUACAUAACAAUUAUACAACUCACCAAAAUGUAGAAUCAGUGGGAGCCCUGAGCUUGUUUUCCUACAACUAGACGGUCCCAUCUGAGGGUGACGGGGAACAGUGACAGAUCGGCAGGUGCUGGAUUCUCAUAAGCAGCGGACAACCUACAUCCCUCGCGUGGGCAGUUCACAAUAGGGUUCGCACUCCUAUGAGAAUCUAAUGCCACCGCUGAUCUAACAGGAGGUGGGGCUCAGGCAGUAACGGAAGCAAUGGGAAGCGGCUGUAAAAACAGAUGAAGCUUAGCUUGCUGGCCCGCCGCUCACUUCCUGCUGUGCAGCCUGGUUCCUAACAGGCCACAGAACGAUACUGAUCUGUGGCCCAGGGGUUGGGGACCGCUGCUCUAUGCCAUACAUGAGGAAGAAAACAAAGUCCGUGCCUUCCUGAGACUUUCAUUCCAAACGUGAAAUCUGGAAGACUCUGGGACAGUUUGUGAUAGACAAAUGGUUCCUCUUUCCUUCCCCCAAUUCCAUGGCUAAAAGGGAGAAUCACAAAAUAAAACAGGAGAGAGGCAAUCUGAGAGCUACCCCAUUUCAACUCCCUCCCUCUUUUAAUAAGGAAACCAAGAGCAGUGAGCACUUGUUCUGUCACAGGUGCACUCACUCACCUUAAUCCAUAGGUCAGUGACUCUCAAACUUGAACAAGCUUCAGAAUCACCUACAGGGCUCAUGAAAAUAGUUUGCCUAGUCAUUCCCAGAAUUCCUGAUUCAGGAGGUCUAGGGUGAAGCCCGAGAAUUUGCAUUUCUGACAAGUUCCCAGGUGAUGCUGAGGCCGCCACUGCUGCUGGUGCUGCCCCAGCUACCACACAUGAGAACCACCGUCACAGAACAACUCCACAAAACAGGUUAUUUUUGUUCCCAUUUUACAGAUGAGGAAACUGAGCAUCAGGAAAGGUAGGUUUCUUACCAGAAAGAAGCUACACCACUAGACUGCCAGACAGGAUUUGAACCCAGAUCUGCCUGACUCUAAAGCCCAUGCUGCUUCCACGACACCAAAGUUAAGAGAUCUAACAUUCUCGGCCCGAUGCGAUGGCUCAUCCCUACUGUAUUUUAGAACUUCUGUUCUUGAAAAGCAAAGUCAAGUUCCCUGUAAGUGCAUAAUAUAUUCUCAUUUUCAAUGAGAACAGAAGAUGGUUUGUAAAAGCUAUUUUUAAGUGUCCCUAUUUGCCCAGUAAUUCCUCUUCUAGAAAUCUAUGAGAAUAAUUCAAAAUAUAGCCCAAAACACAAAGGCAUUAAGUGUUCAGCAAAACACUGAGAAUCUAAAUAACCAAUAUAAAGAGAUUGGUUAGGCCGUGCAGCGUGCUCACGCCUGUAAUCCCGGCACUUUAGGAGGCCGAGGCGGGCAGAUUACCUGAGGUCAGGAGCUUGAGACCAGUCUGGCCAACAUGGUGAAACCCCGUCUCUAGUAAAAAUACAAAAAUUAGCCAGGCGUGAUGGCAUGUGCCUGUAGUCCCAGCUACUCAGGAGGCUGAGGCAGGAGAACUGCUUGAACCCAGGAGGUGGAGGUUGCAGUGAGCCGAGAUCACGCUAUUGUACUC